rnacentral:rRNA from 1 species
UGGGGAAUCUUGCGCAAUGGGCGAAAGCCUGACGCAGCCAUGCCGCGUGAAUGAUGAAGGUCUUAGGAUUGUAAAAUUCUUUCACCGGGGACGAUAAUGACGGUACCCGGAGAAGAAGCCCCGGCUAACUUCGUGCCAGCAGCCGCGGUAAUACGAAGGGGGCUAGCGUUGCUCGGAAUUACUGGGCGUAAAGGGAGCGUAGGCGGACUGUUAAGUUAGAGGUGAAAGCCCAGGGCUCAACCUUGGAAUUGCCUUUGAUACUGGCAGUCUUGAGUACGGAAGAGUUAUGUGGAACUCCGAGUGUAGAGGUGAAAUUCGUAGAUAUUCGGAAGAACACCAGUGGCGAAGGCGACAUACUGGUCCGUUACUGACGCUGAGGCUCGAAAGCGUGGGGAGCAAACAGG